rnacentral:rRNA from 1 species
AUUGAACGCUGGCGGCAUGCCUUACACAUGCAAGUCGAACGGCAGCACGGGAGCAAUCCUGGUGGCGAGUGGCGAACGGGUGAGUAAUAUAUCGGAACGUGCCCGGUCGUGGGGGAUAACGUAGCGAAAGCUACGCUAAUACCGCAUACGAUCUACGGAUGAAAGCGGGGGAUCGCAAGACCUCGCGCGAUUGGAGCGGCCGAUAUCAGAUUAGGUAGUUGGUGAGGUAAAGGCUCACCAAGCCGACGAUCUGUAGCUGGUCUGAGAGGACGACCAGCCACACUGGGACUGAGACACGGCCCAGACUCCUACGGAGGCAGCAGUGGGGAAUUUUGGACAAUGGGCGCAAGCCUGAUCCAGCAAUGCCGCGUGCAGGAUGAAGGCCUCGGUUGUAAC